rnacentral:pre_miRNA from 1 species
AAAAAAACAAACCCUGGGUUUUUAUGUCACUAUCCAUCUUAUAUAAUUUUUUUAUAAUCAGUAUUUUCAUAGUUGUUAAAUGAUAAAACAUGAUUAAUACUUUAUGCGCGACUUAUCUUUUUAAUUUUUUUCUUAAUUUUUUUUAAAUAAGACGGACGGUCAAACAUUGGACACGGAAACCUAUG